rnacentral:rRNA from 1 species
AAAUUGAAGAGUUUGAUCAUGGCUCAGAUUGAACGCUGGCGGCAGGCCUAACACAUGCAAGUCGAACGGUAACAGAAAGCAGCUUGCUGCUUUGCUGACGAGUGGCGGACGGGUGAGUAAUGUCUGGGUAACUGCCUGAUGGAGGGGGAUAACUACUGGAAACGGU